rnacentral:rRNA from 1 species
CCUACGGGGGGCAGCAGUGAGGAAUAUUGGUCAAUGGACGAGAGUCUGAACCAGCCAAGUAGCGUGAAGGAUGACUGCCCUAUGGGUUGUAAACUUCUUUUAUAUGGGAAUAAAAUGUUCCACGUGUGGGAUUUUGUAUGUACCAUAUGAAUAAGGAUCGGCUAACUCCCGGCCAGCAGCCGCGGUAAUUCGGAGGAUUCGAGCGUUAUCCGGAUUUAUUGGGUUUAAAGGGAGCGUAGGUGGAUUGUUAAGUCAGUUGUGAAAGUUUGCGGCUCAAACGUAAAAUUGCAGUUGAAACUGGCAGUCUUGAGUACAGUAGAGGUGUGCGGAAUGCGUGGUGUAGCGGUGAAAUGCUUAGAUAUCACGAAGAACUCCGAUUGCGAAGGCAGCUCACUGGACUGCAACUGACACUGAGGCUCGAAAGUGUGGGUAUCGAACAGGAUUAGAUACCCGAGUAGUC